rnacentral:rRNA from 1 species
GACGAACGCUGGCGGCGUGCUUAACACAUGCAAGUCGAACGGAAAGGCCCUGCUUUUGUGGGGUGCUCGAGUGGCGAACGGGUGAGUAACACGUGAGUAACCUGCCCUUGACUUUGGGAUAACUUCAGGAAACUGGGGCUAAUACCGGAUAGGAGCUCCUGCUGCAUGGUGGGGGUUGGAAAGUUUCGGCGGUUGGGGAUGGACUCGCGGCUUAUCAGCUUGUUGGUGGGGUAGUGGCUUACCAAGGCUUUGACGGGUAGCCGGCCUGAGAGGGUGACCGGCCACAUUGGGACUGAGAUACGGCGCAGACUCCUACGGGAGGCAGCAGUGGGGAAUAUUGCACAAUGGGCGGAAGCCUGAUGCAGCAACGCCGCGUGCGGGAUGACGGCCUUCGGGUUGUAAACCGCGUUCGCCUGUGACGAAGCGUGAGUGACGGUAAUGGGUAAAGAAGCACCGGCUAACUACGUG